UUUUUAUAUAGUUUACAUUUACUUGUAUCUUUGAGUUUUGAGUUGUAACUCUUUUCUUUUAUUUGUAUUUUGUGCUUUGGGAUUGUAACUCUUUAUUUAAUAUAUUGUCCUUGUAAUAUUUUGUUUAGAGUUGUAAUUGUCUUAGUCUUUUAUUCAUCUUAUUUUAUUCUUCCAUUGUAAUCUCUCUAUUAUUUCUAACAAUGAAGAAGAUUUUUUUUUUAUUAUUUUCAAUGGAAGGAGAAACUAUCAAGAUGAUGAACCAAGACUUGGUGAGAUUGGACCGCUUUGAUGGCACCAAUUUCACUAGGUGGCAAGACAAGGUGAGGUUCCUCCUAACCACACUCAAGAUUGCAUAUAUUCUUGAGUCCACCUUGGGCCCUUACCCGCACCUACCGACAAGGAUACCGAUGAGGUCAAGGCACAAAGGAAUAAGAGAGAAGAUGACAAUCUUCUAUGUAGAGGACAUAUCCUCAACUCACUCUCGGAUAGGCUUUAUGACCUAUACACCGACACUAAGGAUGCCAAAGAAAUUUGGGAUCACCUUGAAAAGAAAUUCAAGACCGAGGAGGAAGGUAAGGGUUAAGCUUGGCUGGUGGAGUAGUGAGUUAGGGUUCGACAAGGAUUGUACAUAUCGUGGCAGUGCAACCUGAAAGGUCCUGAUUCACCUGACAAAGAUAUUGAUGUCUUUAUGAAGCCUUUAAUUGAGGAGUUGAAGAUGUUGUGGGAGAACGUUGUUGAAACUCGAGAUGCAUACAACAAUUCCUUGUUCACUAUGAGGGCAUCAAUUUUAUGGACUAAUAAUAAUUAUCCAGCAUAUGCUAUGAUGUUUGGUUAAAGCACAAUGGGGUAUAAGGCAUGCCCUACCUGCAAUGAGAAAACUACUUCUAUUCCAUUUCGUAAUAAAAUUUUGUAUAUUAGGCAUCGA